UAUUUGUGGAAUAAAUGAAUGUAGCAUGACAGUCCCUGGAUAUGACUUGCCAACAAUUACAGAGGGAAGAAGGUGACCCUUUAAAUGCCAGUUGGAUGACAAGCUCUGUAGAAUUUCCUUAGUAUAGGCUCAAUAGAAUUCUGAGCCUUGGCAGAGGAUGGUCAGUAUUCAACAUAUGGAUUUUAGUAUCAGAUCUCCACACACAAGGGUAGAGGAUCCUCCAUCACAAUGCUCAGGGAGGACCCUGACACCCUGCCCUCCCUACCCCAGCCACAGCCACCCAAGACUGGAGGCACUAGAAUCAGCUCCCCGGCCAGCCAUCUGCACUAACCUUGGCUGACCCCACACAUAAACUGGGACACUUCCCUGGCUGUGGAGAAGAACUUCAUCAAAGAUAAAUAACAAAGAAACUCCUAGUCUUGUCUCUGUGUCUCAGGCCUCCACUGGAGGAGAAAGUGAGUGGUAAUGAACAUCUCAGCAGCCUCUUGACCAGCCCGGCGGAUGGGUCACUGGGAUUUCCCAUGCAUACAAAUAAGAAGCCUGCUCAAUGGACUAGUCACUGAAAUAGGCUUUUCCAUCAACAGUUUCAAAUUAAAACCCUGAGAAAGCCAUCUUUGGAAAAUGUUUUCUAGUAUAUAUCUCUUCCAAUGCACUUCAAUUAAUUAAUCUGCAAUUGUCCUCGCAGCUGUGUGAAGGAGAAGAGUUUCUAAGAAUUGAGUUUCUUCUAAGAACAUGAGCUUAUUUGCUUAUUCGAUUUGCCAAAGGCAGCAAGGGAGUGUUUUCUCUACACUUUCCCAAGAUUUAUUAUAGGGCUACCAACUUUUUCUCUGUUAAAUUGGGCGGCUCUAACCUGAGAAAGUUGUUAGAAAAUGAAUAGAAGAGAGAGGCAUGUGAUCGGAGUUCACUUGAACUGAUGGAAACUUUUAACUGAGUCCUGCAGAAUUUUAGAAAUACCAAUAAAAGAACAAUGGAGGUGGGGCAUGAGCUGAUACUGCCACCAACAGAGCGGUUUUUCCGUCUUCAGGGACAUGCAAUCAGCAAUCUCAUUCUACCUCCAUACACUCCUACCUGGCAAAGAGUAAGGUUCACUAACUCACAGGCAAGGAGAAAAGGAGAAGAGGUAAGGUCCUGGCUGAAUCGACACCAAGCCACGUUGUCAAAGCUUUGAGAGUUUGUUAUCCCAAGUCUCCCCUCCUCAGUGGAAAGUGUUUGAGAGAGAGGGCUUGGGACCCAGACUGGCAAGGUUCAAAU
rnacentral:lncRNA from 1 species